UUCCAGGAAAAAAGACGUCUAAUAAAGAGAUACUUACCAGAAUUAUUUCUAAGCUUGGAAAAGAUAUACUCAUUUAUGACAUCUUGGAUGAUAAAUCUCUGCAUUCUACUAUUUCAAGCCAAUUGAAAAUCCCUGAAGAGGUAUUACUUUGGGAUUUAGAUGCCCGAAGUCGAUACUUAGAGUACUUGAAAAAAGGAAAAACACCCAUAUAUAGAGCGCGAGCAAUGAUAGUGGGUUGUGCAGGAGCUGGAAAAACAACGCUAUUAGGAAGACUGCAAAAGAAAUCAAUGAAGGAUAUACAAAAUAUCAAGUCUACUGUGGGACUAGAAGUGCAUAAUGAUAUUUUUGAAGUAAAGGAAAAAGAAGGAAAACUACAAGGUUAAAAAUCUGUG